GUCGACGGUAGAGGGGGCAACCCCUUGAGAGUGGCGAACGGGUGAGUAAUAUAUCGGAACGUGCCCAGUCGUGGGGGAUAACGUAGUGAAAAUUACGCUAAUACCGCAUACGAUCUAAGGAUGAAAGCGGGGGACCGUAAGGCCUCGCGCGAUUGGAGCGGCCGAUAUCAGAUUAGGUAGUUGGUAGGGUAAAGGCCUACCAAGCCAACGAUCUGUAGCUGGUCUGAGAGGACGACCAGCCACACUGGAACUGAGACACGGUCCAGACUCCUACGGGAGGCAGCAGUGGGGAAUUUUGGACAAUGGGCGAAAGCCUGAUCCAGCCAUUCCGCGUGCAGGAUGAAGGCCCUCGGGUUGUAAACUGCUUUUGUACAGAACGAAAAGGUUUCUAUUAAUACUAGGAGCUCAUGACGGUACUGUAAGAAUAAGCACCGGCUAACUACGUGCCAGCAGCCGCGGUAAUACGUAGGGUGCAAGCGUUAAUCGGAAUUACUGGGCGUAAAGCGUGCGCAGGCGGUUAUAUAAGUCAGAUGUGAAAUCCCCGGGCUCAACCUGGGAACUGCAUUUGAGACUGUAUAGCUAGAGUACGGUAGAGGGGGAUGGAAUUCCGCGUGUAGCAGUGAAAUGCGUAGAUAUGCGGAGGAACACCGAUGGCGAAGGCAAUCCCCUGGACCUGUACUGACGCUCAUGCACGAAAGCGUGGGGAGCAAACAGGAUUAGAUACCCUGGUAGUCCACGCCCUAAACGAUG
rnacentral:rRNA from 1 species